CAAUAAGCGGAGGAAAAGAAACCAACAGGGAUUGCCCCAGUAACGGCGAGUGAAGCGGCAACAGCUCAAAUUUGAAAUCUGGCCUCGGCCCGAGUUGUAAUUUGCAGAGGAUGUUUCUGGCGCGGUGCCUUCUGAGUUCCCUGGAACGGGACGCCAUAGAGGGUGAGAGCCCCGUACGGUUGGACGCCUAGCCUGUGUGAAACUCCUUCGACGAGUCGAGUAGUUUGGGAAUGCUGCUCAAAAUGGGAGGUAUAUCUCUUCUAAAGCUAAAUAUUGGCCAGAGACCGAUAGCGCACAAGUAGAGUGAUCGAAAGAUGAAAAGCACCUUGAAAAGGGGGUUAAACAGCACGUGAAAUUGUUGAAAGGGAAGCGCCCAUGACCAGACUUGUGCCCGGCGGAUCACCCAGCGUUCUCGCUGGGGCACUCCGCCGGGUCCAGGCCAGCAUCGGUUUUCGCCGGGGGAUAAAGGCUCUGGGAACGUAGCUCCUCCGGGAGUGUUAUAGCCCUCUGCGUAAUACCCUGGCGGGGACCGAGGUACGCGCUCCGCAAGGAUGCUGGCGUAAUGGUCAUCAGCGACCCGUCUUGAAACACGGAUCAAGGAGUCGUCCAUUAGAGCGAGCGUUUGGGUGUCAAACCCGCACGCGUAAUGAAAGUGAACGUAGGUGAGAGCUUCGGCGCAUCAUCGACCGAUCCUGAUGUCCUCGGAUGGAUUUGAGUAUGAGUUUUACUGGACGGACCCGAAAGAUGGUGAACUAUGCCUGUAUAGGGUGAAGCCAGAGGAAACUCUGGUGGAGGCUCGCAGCGGUUCUGACGUGCAAAUCGAUCGUCAAAUAUGGGCAUGGGGGCGAAAGAC
rnacentral:rRNA from 1 species